AAACUUAAAGGAAUUGACGGGGACCCGCACAAGCGGUGGAUGAUGUGGUUUAAUUCGAUGCAACGCGAAAAACCUUACCCACCUUUGACAUGUAUGGAAGAUCGCAGAGACGCGAUUGUGCUCGAAAGAGAGCCAUAACACAGGUGCUGCAUGGCUGUCGUCAGCUCGUGUCGUGAGAUGUUGGGUUAAGUCCCGCAACGAGCGCAACCCUUGUCAUUAGUUGCUACAUUUAGUUGGGCACUCUAAUGAGACUGCCGGUGACAAACCGGAGGAAGGUGGGGAUGACGUCAAGUCCUCAUGGCCCUUAUAGGUGGGGCUACACACGUCAUACAAUGGCUGGUACAAAGGGUUGCCAACCCGCGAGGGGGAGCCAAUCCCAUAAAGCCAGUCGUAGUCCGGAUCGCAGUCUGCAACUCGACUGCGUGAAGUCGGAAUCGCUAGUAAUCGUGGAUCAGAAUGUCACGGUGAAUACGUUCCCGGGUCUUGUACACACCGCCCGUCACACCAUGGGAGCGGGUUCUGCCAGAAGUAGGUAGCCUAACCGUAAGGAGGGCGCUUACCACGGCAGGGUUCGUGACUGGGGUGAAGUCGUAACAAGGUAGCCGUAUCGGAAGGUGCGGCUGGAUCACCUCCUUUCUG
rnacentral:rRNA from 1 species